UUUGCUAAUCUGUUGCUGGAGAUGAGGACAUUUAGCGAAGCAGGCAAAAUAGUACGAUCCAAUCUACCAAGUAGUAGUAUGAUCCAAUCUACCAAGUGGUUAUGAUUGGUACAAAGCUUCCUUUUUUUCUCUUUAGUUUUCCUCUGAAUUUGUAGUAGAAUAAAUGGAAAAAAUAAAAGAUUCACACACAAAAAAAAAAUGAUUUCCGUAGUUUAGCGAGUUAUUGAAGAAAUUUUCUCAACCAUGUUGACAAGUUCUUUGGAAAAAAAAAUAAUGGUUGCUUCUGAUCAAUUAAACGAUAUCCUUCAACUAAUGUUUAUCACUCUGAGUACAUUUCUGGAAUCUUAUGUGCAAUUUACAUAAACAAAAAGUAUUUAGGCAUAUCAUUAUGAAAUUUUAAAAGAAAAAUAAAAAGGAAGAGCUACAAUAAAAAAUAUGUAAAUUCAUGGUAACUUUCCAAAGGAAUUAUCUUUCACUGAAGAAAAGAAAGUUAAAUGCAAAGAAGUAGGAAAUAACUAGAAUAAGAUCCCUACAUCCAGGGGCGGCUCAAUGUAUCUCGUGACCUAAGGCAAAACCAUAUUGAGAGGCCCUUAAAUUUAUUUUAUAAAAUAUUUACACUAACAAUAAAAUUUACUUUCUAAACAAUACAUUAAUCAUUUAAGACAAAAAUAAGCGAAUUUCAAAAAACAAAUAAGAAGAAGAGCACAAAAGAUAAAGUGGUGGACUAUCGGAUAUUGAGGUCCACAAAUUUUGAUUUGGCUAUCAUCACAAACAAGAAAAAGAAAUAAACGUACAUAACGUAAUAGCUUAAGUUUUGAGCAUUAAAGUAAAAAAUAUUUACUCCUUAUGAUCAAUUUAAAUGAUAAUUGUAGUCAUUUUAUUGAAUAGCACUUAUUGGUGAAUAUCUAAAAUAAAUUAUAAAUAACCUAAUAUAAUAUGUCGAAUUAUACUAAAAGAAAACCGGUGCAUGAAUGCUUUUGUGUUCAUGCAGUUUGAGAGAACAUUGUAAAAGAAAUUCAUUAUAUUGUCAAUAUAUAUAACAUAAUUCCUAUAUAAAAAGGAUAAAAUUAAAAUUGAAGACAGAAGCAAAUAUACUAAUUAAUCAGUAAAGAAAAUUAUCAUAAUUUAUAAAGUAAUUCCUAUAUAAAAAGGAUAAAGUUAAAAUUGAAGACAGAAGCAAAUAUACUAAUUAAUCAGUAAAGAAAAUUAUCAUAAUUUAUGAGUUUAUUGAUAUAAAAUAAUCUCAAUCAAAUAACAAAAAAAAAUAUAUUGUAACACUUUUCUUUAUACUAAUUAUUUAUAUUAUUUAUAUAAUAUAUAGUAAUAAUAAUAAGAAUUUAAAAUAAAUUCGGGGCCUUCAAAUUUUGGGGGCCUAAGCCCUAAGGCGACAACCUCUCUGCCCAAGCCUUUAGAGCCGCCCCUGCCUAUAUCUCCUGUUUGCUGAACUGUGGAUUUUAAAUGAGAUUCUAGUCAACCUCUGUGUGUUCUUUGUUAAGUUUUCUUCACGAAUGAGAGCUGAAGUACUUGAAACUUUUGUAUACUUUGCUUAGUCACAUAAGUAACUUUUGGUGCUUUAUAAAGGAGAAUCCUCCGGGCUAUUUGGUGGAGUUUUGGUUAUGAGUUGGUGAAAUGACUGUGAAGCUGAGAAAGAUGAACUUCUUGCUUGCAGAUCACCCAUUGUUCCAACACCAAAUGUAGAUCUCAAGUAUAUGACAGUUAUUCAAACUCAAGGCAAUCACGAGGCAACAGAAUGUGCAGGUGCGGGGGUAUAUAAGCUUCACAAAGCUGAGUUGCAAGAACUCCUUCACUUUAAGCUGCUAGGUACAGGUUGAUCAACAUAAAAGCAAUCUAUACAUUCUUUUUUUGUUUGCACAUUUUCAAUAAAUAUAAUAGAACAAUUUGCAAGUUCUAUCUAUAAAAGAGAUUGUUUACACGUCCUUUUGCGAAUAGAAAAAUGAGAAAGAAAGGUGCUCUUUAUGUCAAAGGGCGAUGCCAGCAAACGAUAUUCAUAUUAUCAACUGUACAAAAAAUAAUCUUUGCUUAGAAAGAACAGAUCAAGG
rnacentral:lncRNA from 1 species